CUUCAGGAGUUUUUGGUGCAGAUUCUUCAGAUGGUUUUGUUUAGCAAAAUUACUGAAAAAUCCUAUUUCCUGCCAGGAACAUAUUUACCAUGCAGACAAAACUACUUGGUCUUUUAUAGCCCCCACUAGAGGCUACACCUGUUUGAGUCUUUAUAUAAAAUGUUAGUAUUUUUCUCCCUCACUGGCAGUAAGAUCACAGGUUACAAGCGGAAGGAGUACUUUAUACUUGCAGUCAAACAAAUUGCAUAUUUUAAUUAAGAGUGGGCAAGUUGGGUACUUGACUGAGUGUUUGGAUGAAAUGGCCCUGGUGGGAGGAGGCAUGGGAAAUGCAAGGAGAUGUUGCACUGACUUCUUAAAAUUUGUUUUCCUGGCAGACUUGAUCAGCAGGACCUGCCUUAUGAGCUGCCAUCUCUAGGAACCAGAGUAAAAGUUGCCCUGGAGCCCAUGGGAACAGGUCGUGGACAAAGCUGCUUUCACAAAUUCCUUGUACUGAACUGUCAUGGAGGAUCCUGUUACAGUUCUUGUUUCUUCCUCUUGUGGCAGCCUUUGGGAAUGCCUCAUGUCCCACCAUGAAGAAACUCAGAAUGGUAAAAAUAGUUUAGAGCUGUUUGAAGGCUGCUGGAAAUAACGCUGUCUGGAGCACCCUGCUGGAGUGAGGUCACCCUGUAGCUGCUGAACUUCUGGACAUGUGUGGUCUGCUUCUGAGAGGUCUGCAAUGCCUACAGGUUUACAUUCACUGUACAGGGAGGUUUUGCUUUAUUUGGAGGGGGGGAAAAAAAAAAGUCAUCCACAGAUCCAGGGUCAAAAGUCCUGUGACAGCCAAGGAGAUGGUUUUAAUUUGAUUGUCCUCAUCUUACAGUGUGGCCUUUAACUUCAGGAGGCAGAAGGUAAGUGAGAAGCUAUCUCUACCCAGAUAGAGUACUGGCAGUUCUGAUCUGAGGUUCACCACACCUCAAAGAAAACUCCUGUGCCAAAGUGGGUAAUUUUCUGUCCCUUUUUGCCUCCACAGUAGUGGAGUCUGGCAGAUCCGGGCCAGACACUGGUUGUUCAUGGUGACAUCAGUUUCAGGCUUUGGAUCUGGCUUCCUUGAUGUUUCUGUGCAUAUUGUAGCCUGAUUGAGAGCCCACUGAAAUGUAAAAGAUUAUUACUGGUGGCUUGGAGGACUUUAGAGCUGGCCUUCAGGAUAGUCCAUGUCUCAAGACAUUGCUGAUCAGUACUCAGUGGGCAGAGGAGGGCGACCUUUUAGCCAAAUGUAAGAGGUCAGGCGUUUUUGUUAAUAAUGCAAAAAAAAAAUUAAUGAAAACCAAGCCUUGGGAGCAUUCCCAGCUGUAGGAGAAACUUUUGCUCUAUAAGCAAAUGACUGGAGGGAGUCUGCUUUGCAGUGGAUUUGUCUCCCAUUCAUGUUCCCUGUGACAGGCUUACAGGUGGGAACCAGCAUGGAGGGUGCCACUGUGGCUCUACAUGUGUGCAUUGCCCAGUUUAGUGGUGCCAAGCAGAGUUUGUGCCUCUGUGUGGGGUGAAGGCAGCCACCAAAGGAAGUGGGAUGGGGAGGAGAAGACAGGUACAGCUACUCCCAGUGUCAAUGUGGAGCUGCUGAGUGGCAGCAGCCACCAGGUAUGUUACUCUGGAGGGGAGUCGGGGUGCGAGGGGUGAGGGAGCAGGGAUGGGAGCUGAGAGAGGAAAGGGAUGGGAGAGAUGAGGGUGCUCUCCUUUCCAGUGGAGGAGAGGGUUCCAGCAGGGAGGAAAGGACAUGGAGAUGGAAAUGCUAGCUCAGAAGGCAUCUGGGGAUUACUGGGAAGUGCCACCUCCCUCACCAGAAAACUUGUGUCUGGGCCUGUGUCUUGCAGGCGGAGAUCCCUGCGUGGUGCUGGUGCAACCUUCUACCCCGCUCUGUAACCGGGGAGGAUUAUUGAACUCCCACCCUGCACAGCAGGCACCUGUGACACUGUGGCCAUGGCUGUCAGAAAUGAGGCAGUCACACCCGGCCAUCUGAAAAUUAUAGUCACAGCCCUCACUUUGUCUGAGACUGGGCUCUCUGGCUGGACUGUCUCCAUCUGAAAGUACCCAAAAUUGAUGUGGAUCCUCUGGGGCAUUGUGCAGUUUGGUUAGUCCAAGUCAAUUAAAAAUGAAAUGAAUACUAUGUUUCGAUCUUCUUUACAAACCAAGCUUCUAAGAAUUUUUUUGGCAGAAACAACUCUUUUCCCCUCAUGGAAAAUUUCUGUUUUCUCAGAAACAGAAUUCUCUUUCAGAAGAUCUCCCCUGCGGAAAAUUCCCAACCAGCUCCAAUUCUAAAACCUGAUGCCAGAAAACGUCUAGCAGGCAUUAGCAGAGGGCGACUUGGGGUGUAAUGUAUCAUUUAAUCCUAACUAGGGCAACAUAGCCGCAUGAAUUUGAGAACACGAGCAGGCGCUCACCACCCCUAACUUAACAUGCAGUAGGCAAUCCAUCAAAAACAUGGAUGCAGAACAGGGAAAAAGAGUUACAAUCAUUUUCAGUUACGAAAGCUCAGUUCUACCCUGAGAAAGAAACGGGCAAAAUGUCAUCAAAUGCACCAUAUCUGCUUCCUCUUACUGACUUCCAAAACUGAAGUGUUUGCUUUACAAAUAAGAUGCUUUUUUUUUUUUUUUUUAGAAGCAGAUAGUUUCACCAACAACCAGUCUGAGAGAGAAGAAGGUUUCCUCCUCCUUUAAGAAGUAUGCUGGGGAGAAAAUUCUCUGGCAUGUUUGCAGGCACAACAGACUUAAAUGUUGAAGUUGGUUCUGUUGAAGCACAAGAAAUAAUAGUCUCCAGUCCUUUUCCCACAGCUCUGCCGCUUUUCUACUUGGAAGAGAGACCAGCUGACUGAGGAAGUACCAUUCCCUUCAGCAGAAGAAGGAUUUGGGAUUCAAGCCUGUCUCAAAAGGUAAGUUACAGCCUGUUUAUGAGAGCACUGCCUGAUUUAGCACACAUCCUGGAAAAAAAGCAGGCUUCUGGACAGGAAACAUGGCUUGGCAGUGCAAGACAAUAUGCUGGGAAGAGGAGAAGAGGGAGAAAGACAGGUAAAGUGCUUCAAGACGUGGUAGUGCUUAAGUGUCUUCCACAGUGUGUCGAUGGGUCUCUUUUUGUUUUCGUGUGGACUGUACAGGCUCAUCUUUUAGGGCUGAGCUCACAGGCUGUGAUCAAGUAUCUUAAACUUGUAUCCCAAACAUGGACUUUAGCGUGUGUUAAGCCUGUCCAGACACUGGAAUACUUUUCCUUCUCUAGCUUCAGUGUAAACUGCUGGCUUGCCUGCCUGCCUUUGAUAUGAACUGAACAAAAGGAGCAGCUCUCAUUCAGGUUUGGAUACGUGUUGUCAUGGGCCAGCACUUGGUCUUUAGCAGCAGCCCAGCAGGGCUCUGUCAGCACAGCUUAGGGGCAGAACACUUACUUUGAAACACUGCUGCUCACUGAAAGUCCCAAUAGCACAGGAGAUCUUACUGGAUGAACAAAUUGAUUACUCCUUUUCCUUAAGAGGGACUUCUUCCAGACACACCUAGAGAGACUGUCUACAGACCAAAUUGCAAUAAAUAUUCAGCCACAGACCCAUCAAUAUAAACUGUCGUCAAAGGCAAUGAAAAGGCAUUUAUCACUAAUUUCUCUUCAAGCAUGAAGGACAGGCUUCCUCUGCCCAAAGAUAGAUGCGAAUUUUUGGAGGGCAUUAUUUUUAUUUUAAAGCUGAACCAUUAGCAAUUUAAAUUUGGUUUAGUUUUGGUUUUGAAUCUUCAAAUUUGUUGACUUUCAUCUGCAACUUUGAGAAUCCAAUGUAAGAUGGGCACUAACCAAAUGUCCUUACCAAUGUUCUUGAUCCUGACUUGUGCAUGUCUGAUGCUGUUUGCCUCGGAGCCUUCUGUUCAAAGCAAGACUUGAAUUUUUAAUGUAAAAGAGAAGCAGGAGCAAAACAUUCCUUUUAGAAUAAGAAUGAACUACCGAAAAGCCCCUUUUGUGUCCUCUGUGCAUUAUAAAAAGGGGAAAGAAGAGUAGUCCAAAGGUUCUGUGCCCCUUUCCUUUGAAGGUCUCUCUUCAUGAUUUGUUCAAGCAGUUCUGUCCUGUUUUUGGGGGUUUCUCUAGUGUGAGCCUUUCCCACAAAGAAACAAAUUAAUAAUUUUUCUCUUGUUUGUCGUUAUGUAAAAUAUGAAGCUUUAUGCUACUGCCUUUCAGGUGUCAUCCUGAGCUGCUCUUGCACUUUGAAACAACAGACAAAAUGCUACUGGCUUUUCCUGUUGUUGCAUCUUGGUUUUGAGAGUGAUAAAAAUGGAAGUCAAAAUGGGAUGACAGCAUUUAGGACCCAUUUUGUUUCUCAGAGUUACGGAGUUGGAAGCACUCAGCAUUUCACUGCUCCUGCAGGAAAGACCAACCAAAUGCUUAAUGAAGGAAGUCUUGUUUCUGAAGAGUUGAGGAUGGUUGCAACCUCAUAAUGGCAAGAUUGCCACCUGAGCAGCUGUUGGCAGUUCUGAAAUGUUCAGUUAGCCUGUUAUCUCUUCUAAAUAUACAAAUAUAAAUACAUAUUUAAAAAGAAAAAGGAAGAAGGUAAUAGGAAGUUAAGUCAUGCAGAGUGAUAUGCAAACCUCAAAUGUUCCUUGUUUAUCUUGUGUCUUUGCACUGAAGGCAGUAUUGCGUCAUGUCACUAGAGAAAAUAUUCAGCACUUGUGAAGUGAUGCAUUUUAAUUAAAUUC